AUUGAACGCUGGCGGCAGGCCUAACACAUGCAAGUCGAGCGGUUGACGGGAGCUUGCUCCCUGAUUCAGCGGCGGACGGGUGAGUAAUGCCUAGGAAUCUGCCUAUUAGUGGGGGACAACGUUUCGAAAGGAACGCUAAUACCACAUACGUCCUACGGGAGAAAGCAGGGGACCUUCGGGCCUUGCGCUAAUAGAUGAGCCUAGGUCGGAUUAGCUUGUUGGUGAGGUAAUGGCUCACCAAGGCGACGAUCCGUAACUGGUCUGAGAGGAUGAUCAGUCACACUGGAACUGAGACACGGUCCAGACUCCUACGGGAGGCAGCAGUGGGGAAUAUUGGACAAUGGGCGAAAGCCUGAUCCAGCCAUGCCGCGUGUGUGAAGAAGGUCUUCGGAUUGUAAAGCACUUUAAGUUGGGAGGAAGGGUUGUAGAUUAAUACUCUGCAAUUUUGACGUUACCGACAGAAUAAGCACCGGCUAACCCUGUGCCAGCCGCCGCUGUAA
rnacentral:rRNA from 1 species